CUCACUGUCCAGAAAUGGCUCCAGGCUGAGUUGCACCCUCAAAGCUUUCCUCUGUUUCACCUCUGUUCAGACCCAAUGCAGGCCCCUUGCAGCCCAGAGGAAUAAAGAGAUGCCUAGAAAGAGGCCGUGGCCACUUGUUCUCUUUUGUUUUCUUCACUGCGGAGGACUGAGCAAGCCCACUAUCUGAGCAAUGUGGAAAUUCCAGCCCUCACAGGGCUUCACACCUUCAAGGGGAAGAACAUUGCGCCAUGAAACUUCCUUGCUCUAGGCCUGCCAGGAGAUGGGAUCUUACUAUGUUGCCCAGGAUAUUCUCAAACUCUUGGCUUCAAGUGAUACUCCUGCCUUGGCCUCCCAGAUUGCUGGGAUUACAGAGUUGAAAGAUCACCUGGACCACUCCAUUCAGUUUACAGAAGACGACACUGAGGUCUCGAGUGAGGGAUUAAGUACCCAAGAUGUCACAGCAGAUAAUGGCAGAGUCAUGAUUUCUAACAAACAAACAGAAGAAGCAAGUCCCCUGCCUGUCGUCAGCCGGAGCCCCUCUGCUACGCCUGCUCCCCUGUUUCCCAUGGACUGCCUCAUCUUUUGCCUCUAGUUUGAGCCUGAAAGUUACACCUCCAAUGAAUGAAACUCACAGGAUCAUUGGCAUCCAGUCUUCCUCCUCCACACCCACUCUCGGCCACCUGCCCUUCUCAUCCACAGGUGGGAGCAAAGCUUGGUCAACCUGAUAGGCCUCUUCCAGGCAGGGACAGGAGAAGGGACGGCACAGCAGCUCUGAGUCAGGACUCCUUUCGGUAAGGCGUGGCCGCCAGGAAGGCCUGAGAGAAGGAAACCAGCCCAGGUGCGCUCUGUUUACCUUCUCGGCUCACAAACAUGACCAGACCCUCCUUGGCUGGCUGGAUGAAGUCCCAGCCACUUAGUCCAGCCCUCGAGCCUCUCCCAUUCCAGCCACAGUCUGCCUGGCCAGUUCCAUCCCCCUACGGCUUUCCUGGUGUACCACACCAUCCUCGGAUUGCAGCUCGCCCUCUUGGGCCUUUCUGGCCUAGCAGGUGCUGUUCCUUCAGCUCCAAUGCCCUUCCCUGCCUCUCCACCCGGCAAGCUCCUUCUCUUUGUAUCUUCUGCACUAACACUUCCCUCCUCCCUCCCCUUCCCCUCUUUUUCCUUUGUGCCCCGGUGGCACUUCUGAGACAAUGUUACAAGCAUAAUAAAAUAACAAAAUCAUG
rnacentral:lncRNA from 1 species